rnacentral:rRNA from 1 species
GACGUAGGGCGCGAGCGUUGUCCGGAUUUAUUGGGCGUAAAGAGCUCGUAGGCGGUCAGUCGCGUCUGCUGUGAAAACUCGGGGCUUAACUCCGGGCCUGCAGUGGGUACGGGCUGACUAGAGUGCGGUAGGGGAGACUGGAAUUCCUGGUGUAGCGGUGAAAUGCGCAGAUAUCAGGAGGAACACCGGUGGCGAAGGCGGGUCUCUGGGCCGUAACUGACGCUGAGGAGCGAAAGCGUGGGGAGCGAACAGG